rnacentral:rRNA from 1 species
UACGUAGGGCGCGAGCGUUGUCCGGAAUUAUUGGGCGUAAAGCGCGUGUAGGCGGCUCGAUAAGUCUGCUGUGAAAGUUCAGGGCUCAACCCUGAAAUGCCGGUGGAAACUGUCGAGCUAGAGUCCGGAAGAGGCGAGUGGAAUUCCUGGUGUAGCGGUGAAAUGCGCAGAUAUCAGGAGGAACACCAAUGGCGAAGGCAGCUCGCUGGGACGGUACUGACGCUGAGACGCGAAAGCGUGGGGAGCAAACAGG